rnacentral:lncRNA from 1 species
CAUGUUCUUCAUUAACAGGGCAUGUUAGCACCCAAGCACAUACGCACAUGUACGUGGCCUCACAAAUAGUAAAAUGUCCCUUUCACAAGCCAAGUAUCGAUCCCACAGGGACUUGUUUUAAAUAACUAUUCAAAUUUAGUUCACACUUCAGAUUCAAUUGAUGCAAGAGUAACCAAGAGAGAACUUUGAAAGUUAUAAAGUAAAGUAAACCGUGCGUAAAGUAAAAGACUUGAG